rnacentral:rRNA from 1 species
AGUGAACGCUGGCGGUAGGCCUAACACAUGCAAGUCGAACGGCAGCACAGUAAUAGCUUGCUCUUACGGGUGUCGAGUGGCGGACGGGUGGGGAAUACAUCGGAAUCUACUUUUUCGUGGGUGAUAACGUAGGGAAACUUACGCUAAUACCGCAUACGACCUACGUGUGAAAGCAGGGGAUCUUCGGACCUUGCGCGAUCGAAGGUGCCGAUGUCGGAUUAGCUAGGUGGCGGGGUAAAGGCCCACCAAGGCGACGAUCCGUAGCUGGUCUGAGAGGAUGAUCAGCCACACUGGAACUGAGACACGGUCCAGACUCCUACGGGAGGCAGCAGUGGGGAAUAUUGGACAAUGGGCGCAAGCCUGAUCCAGCCAUACCGCGUGAGUGAAGAAGGACUUCGGGUUGUAAAGCCCUUUUGUUGGGCAAGAAAAGCAGCAGGUUAAUACCCCGCUGUUAUGACGGUACCCAAAGAAUAAGCACCGGCUAACUUCGUG